AUGAGAGAGCAGGUCCGUCACCUGCAAGCCUCUCUGAGAUCUGCACAAGAGUGUGUCGCAGAGCAGAAAAACAUUAGCAGAGUUCUUCAUAUCGACAAGGGAACCAACACUGAGAGAGGAGAGCCAGGUAGAGCUGUGGAGAAGGUGGUGAAGGAUCAGAGGGAUGCAGCAGUGGCCACGGAGGUCACAGGUGGAGCAGCCUCAGAGCAGGAGCAAACCCACUUCCAGGUGACCGCGGACGGCCUUCUGACGACCCUCAGAAGGAUGGAGGCGAUGGUCAAUAACGCCCUGGAGACCGCCGAGCUGGUGCGAGAGAGCGAGCGGAGGGUGAACCAGGUGAGGGCAAGGAUGGAGAGCAUCACCCUGAGGGUGGAGAAGGCUCUGGACCGAGCCGGCGACACUGACAAGCAGCUGAAUGUUCUGGAGGCCGAAGUCACAGAAGAAGGUCCCACUCAGUCUCCAGGUCCCAGUCUGCCAGCUGAUCCAGGAACAGACGCCACAGGCUGUACAGACGAGUCCAAUGUGGAGCCUGAAGACAGAGACAGGACGGACAGUCCUCCUCCACCUCCUGUAAUCCCAGAAGUCAGCGAGCCUCCACAGCUACCCAUGAAUGGUAUGAUGGCCUGCAUGGCAGUAAUACAACAUCAGUGUUAUCGUGGUUAAGGGUUCUCCGUGAGACACUGAUGAAUUAAAGCUACUUCCUUCUCUGAUGGUAAUCCCUGAGGAUGUCUGAAAAUAGGCCCAGCCGAUAUUUACAUUGCACACAACAGCUGGUACAGUGAGGAGGAAGAGAGAGUAAGCUCUGAGGGAGGGUAUGUUAUCUAUCAAAGGGGGCCAUGGGGAAAACUAACGGAGGUCCAAUUUUUUUUCAUGUACACAAGUAUUUUUAGCUACAGCCUAUUUUAAUUGACAACAGUUUUAUACUUUGUCUGACUUUUUUGAAUUGAGAGGGCUAAAACAAUGUCUCUGUGAGUUUCCUGUUCUCAGUGCUUGUGGGUCAGCCCACUUUACAUUUACGUCUUAAUGGUUCUCAAGUCCUUUGAGCAAGUUUAUGUAAAGACAGCGACAAAUCUGAUGCUGAGAUAGCUUGCUCACAAAGUUACACAAUGCAGGCUUUUAGGUGCAAUACAGAAAAAAAAUUGAGAACAUUUUUGAAAAAGAAAAAGAAAUGGAAAAGCUUGUAGUUUUG
rnacentral:lncRNA from 1 species